GUGCUGGUCAAGCCAGUAACUUCAACCAGACAUGCCUGCAUAUAUCUGAGGGCAGAAUCUGGGCCUAAGUGUUGAAAAAACACACAAUCUCCUAGUGGCUUUAAGGACCUUGGAACUGGUGGCCCGAGGGACUUUUCUCCCCACCUCUCGCAAACAGAAUGAUCAAAAGGAGGGAGCAGCAGUAUCAAGAGAGGAGGAAGCUCUCCUUUGUUCUUCGCUUCUAACAUCAUUUUAACAAAUAAACAGGACUCAUACUGGAAGUAGCAAGACAGAAAUCCUUCUCGUAAGCAGAAGCCUGUGGGAGAAGAUAAGUGACGGCAACAAUACAGGCUCCACACUGCCGCUGUCAUUGAAUGACAAGUAACACAACACAGAGUAACAGAUCUAUAGGCCUGACCUCUCUGGAGUGAAUAAAGCACACAGGGGGCUCCUGGCCGACCUGGCAACUUCCAAAGUGCACAAACAAGCCGCCCCCAUGCUGUGUGUUGUAUGUGGAGUAGUGGAGUACUGGAGCAGUGUGGAAGCCUGGAUACACCAUAUUGGCCCUACAUCUGCGUUCCAUCUCUAAGAGUUACGAACAACCUCCAGUCCAGACCUAUUGCUGGCUGCUUCCGAGGCGCAGCAUGGUCCGCGGUGCCAGGACAGGCGGGAAGCCUGCAUCUGCACCCCGGCUGCGCCGCUGACCAGGAGCCGCUGGAGGUUGCUCAAGUGCAAGAUCUACCUGAUCUUCAAGACUGUUCUGAGUAAAGACCUGUCCCCCUUCACUGAAGUUGGACAAACCUUCUGGAGCAGUAUGGGCAUUUACCCAGGACACCUCCAUCAUUAGAUACCAACUGUUCCUUGGAGAAUCGUACUGAACAACAGUGAAAAGAACCAGUGCUACAUUUCCUCUUGUGCCUUCCCAGACCCCGAUACGAUCUCCGAAGAACUUGAAUUGCAAGAAUGUGAAUGUCUAAAGGCAAACUCUAAACCACAAUGAAACUCAAAUUAAAAGCAGAGAUUGAUGUGCUGAUCUGAUGAAGGCCUGAGGAAUGUGUUUGUUGAAUGACACUUAUAGGAAGAAGUUCUUUAUCAUCUCAAAGGAAUGUGACAUUUCAGGAUAACCAGGGGGUCCCUUAUCACGAGUCUGAAAUGAAUGCAAAUGAAGGAUUGGAAGAAUUUCAAAGAAAGAAACUAAUCCUAAAACAAAAAUAGGGGGUGGGGG